ACGCUCGACACCUACGGGAGGCAGCAGUGGGGAAUAUUGGGCAAUGGGCGCAAGCCUGACCCAGCAACGCCGCGUGAAGGAAGAAGGCCCUCGGGUUGUAAACUUCUUUUAACAGGGACGAAGUAAGUGACGGUACCUGUUGAAUAAGCCACGGCUAACUACGUGUCAGCAGCCGCGGUAAUCUGAGCGGGCUGGCAAGGC
rnacentral:rRNA from 1 species